CUCAGAUUGAACGCUGGCGGCAGGCCUAACACAUGCAAGUCGAGCGGUAGAGAGAAGCUUGCUUCUCUUGAGAGCGGCGGACGGGUGAGUAAUGCCUAGGAAUCUGCCUGGUAGUGGGGGAUAACGUUCGGAAACGGACGCUAAUACCGCAUACGUCCUACGGGAGAAAGCAGGGGACCUUCGGGCCUUGCGCUAUCAGAUGAGCCUAGGUCGGAUUAGCUAGUUGGUGAGGUAAUGGCUCACCAAGGCGACGAUCCGUAACUGGUCUGAGAGGAUGAUCAGUCACACUGGAACUGAGACACGGUCCAGACUCCUACGGGAGGCAGCAGUGGGGAAUAUUGGACAAUGGGCGAAAGCCUGAUCCAGCCAUGCCGCGUGUGUGAAGAAGGUCUUCGGAUUGUAAAGCACUUUAAGUUGGGAGGAAGGGUUGUAGAUUAAUACUCUGCAAUUUUGACGUUACCGACAGAAUAAGCACCGGCUAACUCUGUGCCAGCAGCCGCGGUAAUACAGAGGGUGCAAGCGUUAAUCGGAAUUACUGGGCGUAAAGCGCGCGUAGGUGGUUUGUUAAGUUGGAUGUGAAAUCCCCGGGCUCAACCUGGGAACUGCAUUCAAAACUGACUGACUAGAGUGUGGUAGAGGGUGGUGGAAUUUCCUGUGUAGCGGUGAAAUGCGUAGAUAUAGGAAGGAAC
rnacentral:rRNA from 1 species